rnacentral:rRNA from 1 species
GAUGAACGCUGGCGGCGUGCCUAAUACAUGCAAGUCGAGCGAACAGAUGAGGAGCUUGCUCCUCUGACGUUAGCGGCGGACGGGUGAGUAACACGUGGAUAACCUACCUAUAAGACUGGGAUAACUUCGGGAAACCGGAGCUAAUACCGGAUAAUAUAUUGAACCGCAUGGUUCAAUAGUGAAAGACGGUUUUGCUGUCACUUAUAGAUGGAUCCGCGCCGCAUUAGCUAGUUGGUAAGGUAACGGCUUACCAAGGCAACGAUGCGUAGCCGACCUGAGAGGGUGAUCCGCCACACUGGAACUGAGACACGGUCCAGACUCCUACGGGAGGCAGCAGUAGGGAAUCUUCCGCAAUGGGCGAAAGCCUGACGGAGCAACGCCGCGUGAGUGAUGAAGGUCUUCGGAUCGUAAAACUCUGUUAUUAGGGAAGAACAAAUGUGUAAGUAACUAUGCACGUCUUGACGGUACCUAAUCAGAAAGCCACGGCUAACUACGUG